rnacentral:lncRNA from 1 species
GCCCUAAUCUUGAUCAGAGGCUUCAUCUCCCUUGAGAAUAAUGAAUUAGGGUUGAGAGGCUCUCUCCUCCAGGGGCCAGGGGGUCUGGUUUUAUAGUCCCUUCAAGUGAAUAUGGGCCGUUGGAUCAAACCGACAUAGAUUGUAUGGUUUAGAUUCAUCCUUUAGGUCGGUGGAAAUCUCCCAUGAAGCAGAGUCCUGAUUGGACUCAGGGAGGGGGCGGGCGCCCAGGGCAGGAGGGCGGGCGCCCUGCCUCUGGCCCCGUUUCGCCUCCGCUUCGGUCUCGUGGCUUAUGGAGUCUUCUAGAUGUAAGAUAAUUGCGCGGCACGUUAAUAUCUCUAUGUAAUCCCGACGUGUGGGCCUUUCUUCCGUAUUUCUUGAUAACCCCCUACAGAAAUAGACAAACACCAAAACUUGUGGAAUUCUGUCAGAUAAAACCCUAAGUCUAGAUCUUGAUUUCAUUUGGAUCCUUUUCUUUAUUUAUUUGAUACUUAAGGACCGUCAACAAACUCCCCCAAGCUUACCUCUUGCUCGUCCCUAAGCAAGGAUAGACUCAGCUAUGGAUCAUAAGUUGUUACAAUAUUUUUAAAAAUUGACGGUACACAUGCUUUUUAAAAAAGAUCUCAUCUCUGAGUUAGAGUAAACUGUCAAGACUUAAAACUUACUUACUUUACCUUCACCAUGGGACUUGUAACUGUCACUUCUGUCUUGAGUGGUUAAAAGAUAGAACUGUCUGGCCAAGUGUCAUGUCUCUUAUUCUUGAUCAGCUAUAACUCUGGAGUUUUUGCAGAUUUUCAAAUAAAACUCAGAGAUUCCUUGUAUGACUCUCUUAAAUCUCUCUUUUGUGGUAUUUCUGGAUCCUUACCAAGGCAGUGAUGGUAUAUGCCUUCUCUCAAGAUAUGUGGUAUUUAUGGUAUAAAGCAUAGUGACAUUGUCUUCUCUCUCACCCUACUCUAAUAAGACUUUUAUAUCUGGAGCUCAUAGGUGGGAGAUAAAGUAUACAUACUUACAAGACAUUUAUUGUAUAGUCAAACCAUGGAUCCAAAGAAACAAAUCAAUAAGCCAAAUCAAGAUGUGCAUGUGUGGCGAAUGAAUGGUGUAUGGUGGAAGUCUAAUUCUACUUUGCUCUUUGAGGGAAUACAGACCUUCCUUGCUUUUGAAACUUUAUGAGGAGAAUGAGAUGCUCUUCUUUUUAUUUUCUUUUCUCUCAGGUGGGUAUCUUGUACCCCUAAUUCUACUGUCGGACACUUGUCCAUUUUUACCUCUCGUCUCACUUUUUCUUUCUUUCGAGGUUCAGAGCACUUGCUCCUUUUUAUUUUCUCGUAUUAUUUUUUUCUCUCUUUUUUUUUAUAAGCACUCAUCUCUUGAGAUAAUAUAGCAAGUGGUAGUAACAAGAUAACUUGAGCAUUUAUUUCACGUGGGAAAAACAUGAAUAUUUUUGGUUAUUCUCUCCCGGAUUAGGAGUAGAAUAUUUUUGGGUGAUUCUGGAGAUGGAAAUGGAUGGAUAUAUGUGGAUGGUACUUCCGGAGUAGAAGUAGCAUAUAUGAGUGAACGUGCAAGUGAAUCUUGAUUUAACCACAUGACAAGUUCCUAAGGGUCUACACAGCUUGACCACACUCAAUGCUCAUAAGUAGUAAAUAUUAAAUGUGUGGCUCAAAGUCUAGCAAGCAUGUAUAUAUGGCUGUGGUAGGAAUUUAAACUCUCAUCAUACAGGAACUCAUCAUGCAACAUUUUAAAGAUUUUCAAAGAUAAAAUUCUCCAGAAUUCUAGCAUCUCUAGGAACAGAUAAACAGAAGCUCAACCUUCCCAUAUCGUAUCCGUUAACAACUUAGACUUCAGAUCAAGUUUUCAUCCCAUAAGUUUAGGUUUAGAGCAAGCUUUAAAUUAUAACAGUUAUGUCUAAACUUGAGAGAGAACUUAAAAUGUGCAAAUUAGGCAGAGCAACUAUUCAUCAUAUCCAUGCUUAAGUUUUAUUUAGAUACAGAUUAGCAUAGCCACUUUAUUUAUUUAUUAAACACACUAAGCAAAAGAUAUAUAUAUAUAUAAGCACAAACUCUUUAUUUGGUUUUCCAUAGUUUAUGUGUAUUUAUAUUCUAAAAUAAUAUAAGUAUAAAGAUAGAUAGAAAUACUUAUCGAGAUAAAUGGGGGUGCUCUCCCCCAAGCUGAAUUUUGACGUAAUUUCCCUUGAUGUAGCUAGCAGGUGGCAGAGGUGUAUUUGAAAGUCAGCAGCAUUCUGACAGCGAUUAGAAUGUCCUCCGUCUGCCAGUCUUCUUGAUUCUUAAAUUCUGUGGAGUUCAAAUGGACAACAAAGCUUGUGGAACUGGUUAAGUGUUAGCAUAAAUAUCUAGCCUUUAUCAUGUUGAGACUCCUUAAUAAAUAUUACUUCCUGUUUUUAUAUUUUUAUUUUUUAUAGAGCAGAAAAAUAAUUAUUUUAUUUUUAUGCCACCACAGUGAAUGUACUUAUGGGUUUUAUGCCGCUCGUCUACUCACAUGGGGCUUACUGUUUUUCACAUUUUUAUUUUCUUUUAUUUUUAAGAUAGUAUGAACAUGAUUAACUAAGUAAACUAUUUAAAAUAAUUGAAAGGGAAAGGAUAACGACCAAGUUUACCUCUUGGCAAUGCGUUCGGUGUUUUUAAGUCCUCCGAACGGGACUCUCCAAUUAAUCAUCCUGAGGUUCGUUGGGUGGCGUAGUCGGUACUUCUGGCAGCGCCUCCUCUUCAUGUAUAGUUAUCUUCGUUUUCCAUACCUGACUCGGUGUCUCAGUCUCCUCUGGAUAAUUCUGUUUAAACUCAACGUCUUCUGAUCUUAUCACUUCUCCUUCGUAGUCUGCCCAUCCGUCCUUGAUGAUCCGCCUCCUCUGGUUGCGGUUGCGUCGCUUUCUGACCUGCUUAGAUUCUUCAACGAUAUAGUUAGGGUCAGUAAAAUAACGGCGUACCUUCUCUGAGGGUUGGUGCAUAUGGACUUCUCCGGUUCCAAUGUAGAUAAUUGCUUUAACCGUGCUGAGGAACGGUCUUCCAAGGAUGAUGGGAGGAUCAUAUUCAUCUUCUCCCAUGUCAAUAACUUGAAAGUCUGUGUAGACAAAGUGAUCGUCUAUUUUGACUGGGACAUCAGUUACUAUUCCUUUAACUUCUCAAAAUGUCUGAUCUGCCAUCUGGAGCUGAAUGUAUGUUGGUCUUAGGGGCAUGGUUCCGACAAGAGCCGAUAGGUGACUGCGGCCAUUAUGUUGACGCCUGAUCCAAUGUCACAAGUUGCCUGGUAGAAGUUGUAUCCAUUUAUGGACCAGUAGAUGCUUGGCAUUCCUGGGUCGUCCUUCUUGGUCAAAAGUGGUGACUUAAGUUGAUGAUCUUGGCCUCCAUGAACUACAGUGACCAUCUUAGCUGACUCGGUCCACACUCGCUUGUUCCUGUUCCUCCUGUUGGUCCUCUUCCUUGACUCACGUUUGGAUUGAUCUGGAAUUUGUGUAGUCUUGUUCUUGAAGAAAAAUGUCUCCUUCCUCCCUUUGACAUAGAAACUGAUCUUGGCAGCACUAGCGUAGAUGAUAGCUCCCGUGGUGUUCAAGAAUGGCCUCCCUAGGAUGAUUGGUGCUCUCUCAUCAUUUCCGGUCUCUACCACUGCGAAGUCUGCUAGAGCAUAUAAGGUACCAACUCGGACGCAAAGGUUCUUAAAUAUUCCCUUUGGAAAAGUUAUCGUCUGAUCUGCAAACUGCAAACACAUGGUUGUCUCUAAUAAAGGAUAUGUAAAGAAUUUUUCAUAGAGUACCAUGGGUAUAAUGUUGACGCUAGAGCCAAAGUCGCAGAGUGCUUCUGGAACGUCCACCAUGCCGAUGGAGAUCGGGAUGACGGGGCGUCCUGGAUCGCCUCUCUUGACCGGCACAAGGUCAGUAGAGAAUUCAGUGACGGGGUUACUCCAAUUACCUGCAUCAAACAUGUCUACAAGAUUUGCAGAUUCUAAUCCUUCCAGUUGUGAUGGUAUACCGGGGUUAGUAGUAGGAACAGCAGCAGCUAUUUGAUUUAACUAAGAUUCAAUCAUUUUAUUAAAGCUAAUUUGAUUCUUGAUGGCAGUAGAGAAAUUAUCCAUUCUAUUAUUUAUAUUUUCUAGCAUUUUAUCAUUAGAUGCCAAUUUCUUAGAUAGGUUAUCCAUUAGCUUUCCUUGAUUAGACACUAACUCUUUCAAAGGUGGAAAAUUAUUAUUAUUGUUGUAAGAAUUGUUACCUUGAUAAUUACCUGAGUAUUUAGGCCUCUGUUGAUUCCAACCUUGAUUUUGUUGAGGACGGUUGUAGUAGUUGUUGUUGUUGUUGUUGAUGUAGUUCACAUCCUCAAGUAUCUCAGGGCAGUGGUUGCCUGAGUGUCCAGUAUCUCCACACUCCUCACAAGUCAUGUGAGAGUCGUAGAUGUGCAUAACUUCUUUCUUGUCUCCAGCUCUAUCGCCGAGCUUCUUCAUGAGCAGGUCUAGCUUUGCAGACAGCAUGUCUACCUCCUUCAGCUGAUGCAUACCUCCACCUCUCUUGCGUGUCUGGGUCCUCUCUUCAUUCCAGCUUUGAUUGGACGCCAUCUUCUCCACAAGAGCUGUAGCUUGUGGUAUGGUAAGUGAUAAGAAUGCUCCUCCGGCUGCAGCAUCCAUGGUUUCUCGGGCACUGUUACCGAGCCCAUGAUAAAAUGUCUGCAUCAAUAGCCAACUCUCCAUUCCAUGAUGGGGACAUUCUAGGAUGUAGUCUUGGAAGCGCUCCCAUGCUUCUGGAAUGGAUUCAUCAUUUUGUUGCUAAAAACUUGUAAUCUUCCCACGGAGAGCAUUGGUCUUGCCCAUGGGAAAGAACUUUGCUAGGAAGUAUGUUGAGCAGAGUCCCCAUGUAGUAUUCUUCUCCUUUGUAGCGUAGAACCACUGCUUCACUCUUCCUAACAGUGAGAAUGGGAAGAGGUGAAGUAGUAUAGCAUCUUUGGAAACUCCUGAUAUGGUGAAUGUGUUGCAAAUCUCUAGGAAGUGUUGUAAAUGAGCACUAGCAUCUUCGUGUGCCUUCCCACAGAACUGGUUGGAUUGCACCAUGUUGAUAAGUCCAGGCUUGAGCUCAAAGUUACCAUCGAUCUCUGCAGCAGGUCCAGUGCGGAUGUUGUCCAUAGUGGGAGCUGAGAACUCGCGGAUUGAUUUGUUCACCAUGGCUUCGAACUCUGAAGACAAGUUCCGGUGAUCUUCUUGAUUGGAUGAAGCUUCUUGCUGAAGUGUUGACGAUCUUUUCUUGAGGUUGGCUCCCGCCUUCUUGAAUAAUGCUUCGGGAUUGUCAACAAAAUUUCCUGGAAGAUGUCUUCUAUUCAUACAUUCCCCUGCAUAAGAUAAAAUAGAAAAAUAUCGGGGUAAAACUGUAUGAGAGAAUAGAUAAGCUCAAUCACAUUAGUGAUGCGAAUGAUAACUCAAAAUCUUUUAUUCUAUUCCUGAUUAUUAAUCAACCUUCCCCGGCAACGGCGCCAAAAAUGCUUCUUGGGUAUUCUUAACAUCAUUACCAAAAGUAGACUAAGUUCUCUAAAUCUAGUAACGGUGCCAAAAAUGCCAAACCUAUCCCCCACACCACUUAAGCCAAGUUGUCAUCCCCAGCAUGAUAUACUAGACGCGCUAUUGAAAUAUGCAAUUGCUCUUCUAAAUAAAUAAUGAAUGGGAUCUGCAAGCGCACAGAUUAAUACCGAUGUAGCAUUUUAACCGGGAAGUAUUCCAGGUAUCGUUAUUUAUAUUUUUACCACUCGGAAGGGAUUAGCAAUCAUCACUAUUGAUUACAGAAUAGAAUAUGAGAUUGAGCAUCUAUCAUUGCAUGUAUAAUUGAACAUUAUAUCUAACUCUUCAUACAGGGAUAAUUGUCACAUAAAAGAUAUAUGAAAUAAUAAUAGUGACAAGGAUAACUAAUCUGAUCUAGCCACAUAAUAAAUAUGAUAAGCACCUCAAUUAGAUACUCUAGAAAGCCAUUAGCAUGGUAUUAGAACGAACUACAAGAAUAUUCCCUAAGUUAUUCUCAACUAUAUAGUCUAGCAUUAUCAUAAUUAGUGCAAGCAUACUUAGCAAUCAUUGUGAGACAAGACUACGCCCAUGCAUAGUGAUAUUAGCAAGGAAUAUGAGAAACAUAGCAAUCACUCCCCUGUAAUAAUGUUGCUCUGCCAGCCCAAUACACGAGAGGGGGACUAUAUAAGAAUCAAUGAAGCUGUCACUAUCACGAACCACCCCACGAUCUGGCAUAUUGGGUACAAUCACAGAUAAAUAUGGUAUAAGCACCACGCCUACACAAUAUCUAUCAUUUACCCAUGGAUCCGAUGGAUAAACGCUAUACGAUCCUAAGCAUUUAUAUAGAUCGAAUCUAACUAAGCCAAGUACAUAACUAUGAUAAACUAAGAACAAUAUAAUCUUGAAUAUAAGCAAGUAGAGCAAAGUCAUAAGCAAUAUAUUGAAGUAGAACAAAGUCAUAUUCAUAAUAUUGAAGAACAAAGAUAAUUAGAAAGUAAUUAGAAGCACAAUUAGAGAAUUACCAAGAAUCCUCUUGACAGAUCCGGAAACCAAUCGAAGAUUGACUCCUUCUAGUUCUAAUCCUAUGUAGCUAUGCUAAUCUAGAUAUCUAAUUGAUGUGGUGGCCCUAAUCUUGAUCAGAGGCUUCUUCUCCCUUGAGAAUAAUGAAUUAGGGUUGAGAGGCUCUCUCCUCUAGGGGCCAGGGGGUCUGGUUUAUAGUCCCUUCAAGUGAAUAUGGGCCGUUGGAUCAAACCGACAUAGAUUGUAUGGUUUAGAUUCAUCCUUUAGGUCGGUGGAAAUCUCCCACGAAGCAGAGUCCUGAUUGGACUCAGGGAGGGGGCGGGCGCCCAGGGCAGGAGGGCGGGCGCCCUGCCUCUGGCCCCGUUUCGCCUCCGCUUCGGUCUCGUGGCUUCUGGAGUCUUCUAGAUGUAAGAUAAUUGCGCGGCACGUUAAUAUCUCUAUGUAAUCCCGACGUGUGGGCCUUCCUUCCGUAUUUCCUGAUAACCCCCUGCAGAAAUAGACAAACACCAAAACUCGUGGAAUUCUGUCAGAUAAAACCCUAAGUCUAGAUCUUGAUUUCAUUUGGAUCCUUUUCUUUAUUUAUUUGAUAAUUAAAUUUGAUACUUAAGGACCGUCAACAGAUGUGAAAACCUUUCAUUCCUCGACGCUUAUUCUGGCUACCAUCAAAUAAAGAUGAAAGAAUCUGACCAGCUCGCGACAUCUUUCAUCACGCCCUUUGGGAUGUAUUGUUAUGUAACCAUGCCCUUCGGGCUUUGAAACACUGGGGCGACAUACCAGCGAUGCAUGCUCCACGUGUUUUUCGAACACAUAGGGUCGACGGUCGAGGCAUACAUCGAUGACAUCGUCGUCAAAUCAAAAAAGCGAGGUGACCUGAUUUAGGAUCUCGAGAUCGCCUUUAGUUGUUUACGCGCUAAUAGAAUCAAGCUCAACUCCGAGAAGUGCGUCUUCGGCGUGCCUCGAGGCAUGCUUCUGGGUUAUAUUUUCUCCCAACGCAGCAUCGAGGCUAAUCCCAAGAAAGUAUUGGCUGUUGCAAGGAUGGGGCCUGUUGGGUAUUCUUAACAUCAUUACCAAAAGUAGACUAAGUUCUCUAAAUCUAGUAAUGGUGCCAAAAAUGCCAAACCUAUCCCUCACACCACUUAAGCUAAGUUGUCAUCCCCAGCAUGACAUGAGAGACGCGGUAUUGAAAUAUGCAAUUGCUCUUCUAAAUAAAUAAUGAAUGGGAUCUGCAAGCGCACAGAUUAAUACUGAUGCAGCAUUUUAACCGAGAAGUAUUCUAGGUAUCGUUAUUUAUAUUUUUACCACUGGGAAGGGAUUAGCAAUCAUCACUAUUGAUUACAGAAUAGAAUAUGAGAUUGAGCAUCUAUCAUUGCAUGUAUAAUUGAGAACAUUAUAUCUAACUCUUCAUACAGGGAUAAGUGUCACAUAAAAGAUAUAUGAAAUAAUAAUAGUGACAAGGAUAACUAAUCUGAUCUAGCCACAUAAUAAAUAUGAUAAGCACCUCAAUUAGAUACUCUAGAAAGUCAUUAGCAUGGUAUUAGAACGAACUAUAAGAAUAUUCCCUAAGUUAUUCUCAACUAUAUAGUCUAGCAAUAUCAUAAUUAGUGCAAGCAUACUUAGCAAUCAUUGUGAGACAAGACUACGCCCAUGCAUAGUGAUAUUAGCAAGAAAUAUGAGAAACAUAGCAAUCACUCCCCUGUAAUAAUGUUGCUCUGCCAGCCCAAUACACGAGAGGGGGAAUAUAUAAGAAUCAAUGAAGCUGUCACUAUCACGAACCACCCCACGAUCUGGCAUAUUGGGUACAAUCGCAGAUAAAUACGGUAUAAGCACCACGCCUACACAAUAUCUAUCAUUUACCCAUGGAUCCGAUGGAUAAACGCUAUACGAUCCUAAGCAUGUAUAUAGAUCCAAUCUAACUAAGCCAAGUACAUAACUAUGAUAAACUAAGAACAAUAUAAUCUUGAAUAUAAGCAAAUAGAGCAAAGUCAUAAGCAAUAUAUUGAAGUAGAACAAAGUCAUAUUCAUAAUAUUAAAGAACAAAGAUAAUUAGAAAGCAAUUAGAAGCACAAUUAGAGAAUUACCAAGAAUCCUCCUGACAGAUCUGGAAACCAAUCGAAGAUUGACUCCUUCUAGUUCUAAUCCUAUGUAGCUAUGCUAAUCUAGAUAUCUAAUUGAUGUGGUGGCUCUAAUCUUGAUCAGAGGCUUCUUCUCCCUUGAGAAUAAUGAAUUAGGGUUGAGAGGCUCUCUCCUCCAAGGGCCAGGGGGUCUGGUUUUAUAGUCCCUUCAAGUGAAUAUGGGCCGUUGGUUCAAACCGGCAUAGAUUGUAUGGUUUAGAUUCAUCCUUUAGGUCGGUGGAAAUCUCCCGCAAAGCAGAGUCCUGAUUGGACUCAGGAGGUGGGCGGGCGCCCUGACCAACUGGGCGGGCGCCCAGGGUCAGGCCCCGUUUUGCCUCCGCUUCGGUCUCGUGGCUUCUGGAGUCUUCUAGAUGUAAGAUAAUUGCACGGCACGUUAAUAUCUCUAUGUAAUCCCGACGUGUGGACCUUUCUUCUGUAUUUCCUGAUAACCUCUUGCAGAAAUAGACAAACACCAAAACUCGUGGAAUUCUGUCAGAUAAAACCCUAAGUCUAGAUCUUAAUUUCAUUUGGAUCCUUUUCUUUAUUUAUUUGAUAAUUAAAUUUGAUACUUAAGGACCGUCAACAAACUCCCCCAAGCUUACCUCUUGCUCGUCCCUGAGCAAGGAUAGACUCAGCUAAGGAUCAUAAGUUGUUGCAAUAUCUUAAAAAAUUGACGGUACACAUGCUUUUUAAAUAAGAUCUUAUCUCUGAGUUAGAGUAAACUGUCAAGACUUAAAACUUACUUACUUUACCUUCACCAUGGGACUUGUAACCGUCACUUCUGUCUUGAGUAGUUAAAAGAUAGAACAGUCUAGUCAAGUGCCAUAUCUCUUAUUCUUGAUCAGCUAUAACUCUGGGGUUUUUGCAGAUUUUCAAAUAAAACUCAGAAAUUCCUUGUAUGAUUCUCUCAUAUCUCUCUUUUGUGGUAUUUCUGGAUUCUUACCAAGGCAGUGAUGGUAUAUGCCUUCUCUCAAUAUAUGUAGUAUUUGUGGUAUGAGGCAUAGUGAUAUUGCCUUCUCUCUCACCUUACUCUAAUAAGGCAUUUAAUAUCUGGAGCUCAUAGGUGGGAGAUAAAAUAUACAUACUUACAAGACAUUUAUUGUAUAGUCAAACAUGGAUCCAAAGAAACAAAUCAAUAAGUCAAAUCAAGAUGUGCAAGUGUGGCGAAUGAAUGGUGUAUGGUGAUGAUGGUGAUAACAAUGGUGGUGGAAGUCUAAUUCUACUUUGCUCUUUUAGGGAAUACAUACCUUCCUUGCUUUUGAAACUUUAUGAGGAGAAUGAGAUGCUCUUCUUUUUCUUUUCUCUUAGGUGGGUAUCUUGUACCCCUAAUUCUACUGUCGGACACUUGUCCAUUUUUACCUCUCGUCUCACUUUUUCUUUUCUUUCGAGGUUCCGAGCACUUGCUCCUUUUUAUUUCCUCGUAUUUAUAAUUUUUUUUCUUUUUUUUUAGAGCACUCAUCUCAUGAGAUAAUAUAGCAAGUGGUAGUAACAAGAUAACUUGAGCAUUUAUUUCACAAGGGAAAACAGAAAUAUUUUUGGCUAUUCUCUCCCGGAUUAGGAGUAGAAUAUUUUUGAGUGGUUCUGGAGAUGGAAAUGGAUGGAUAUAUGUGGAUGGUACUUCCGGAGUAGAAGUAGCAUAUAUGAGUGAAUGUGCAAGUGAAUCUUGAUUUAACCACAUGACAAGCUCCUAAAGGUCUACACAGCUUGACCACACUCAAUGCUCAUAAGCAGUAAAUAGUAAAUGUGUGGCUCAAAGUCUAGCAAGCAUGUAUAUAUGGCUGUGGUAGGAAUUUAAACUCUCAUCAUACAGGAACUCAUCAUGCAACAUUUUAAAGAUUUUCAAAGAUAAAAUUCUCCAGAAUUCUAGCAUCUCUAGGAACAGAUAAACAGCAGCUCAACCUUCCCAUAUCGUAUCCGUUAACAACUUAGACUUCAGAUCAAGUUUUCAUCCCACAAGUUUAGAUCUAGAGCAAGCUUUAAAUUAUAAUAGUUAUGUCUAAACUUGAGAGAGAACUUAAAAUGUGCAAAUUAGGCAGAGCAACUAUUCAUCAUAUCCAUGCUUAAGUUUUAUUUAGAUACAGAUUAGCAUAGCCACUUUAUUUAUUUAUUAAACACACUAAGCAAAAGAUAUAUAUAUAAACACAAAAUCUUUAUUUGGUUUUUCAUAGUUAUGUAUAUUUAUAUUCUAAAAUAAUAUAAGUAUAAAGAUAGAUAGAUAAAAAUACUUAUCGAGAUAAAUGGGGGUGCUCUCACCCAAGCUGAAUUUUGACGUAAUUUUUUCUUGAUGUAGCUAGCAGGUGGCAGAGGUGUAUUUGAAAGUCAGCAGCAUUCUGACAGCGAUUAGAAUGUCCUCCGUCUGCUAGUCUUCCUGAUUCUUAAAUUCUGUGGAGUUCAAAUAGACAACAAAGCUUGUGGAACUUGAUUAAGUGUUAGCAUAAAUAUCUAGCCCUUAUCUUGUUGAGACUCGUUAAUUAAUUAUUACUCCCUGUUUUUAUAUUUUUAUUUUAUAAAGCAGAAAAGAAAUAUUUAUUUUAUUUUUAUGCCACCACAGUGAAUGUACUUAUGGGUUUUAUGCCACUCGCAUACUCACAUGGGGCUUACUGUUUUUCACAUUUUUAUUUUCUUUUUAAGAUAAUACGAACAUGAUUAACUAAGUAAACUAGUUGAAAUAAUUGAAAGGAAAAGGAUAACUAUCAAGUUUACCUCUUGGCAAGGCAUUCGGUGUUUUUAAGUCCUCCGAACAGGACUCUCCAAUUUCUUAAUCGUCCUUAGGUUUGUUGGGUGGCAUAGUCCGUAGUUCCGGCAGCGCCUCCUCUUCAUGUAUAGUUAUCUUCAUUUUCCAUACCUGACUCGGUGCUUCAAUCUCCUCUGGAUAAUUUUGUUUAAACUCAAUGUCUUCUGACCUUACAACUUCUCCUUCAUAGUCUGCCCAUCCGUCCUUGAUGAUCUGCCUCCUCUGGUUGAGGUUGUGUCUCUUUCUGACCUGCUUAGAUUCUUCAACGAUAUAGUCAGGGUCAAUAAAAUAACGGCGUACCUUCUCUGAGGGGAAGUGCAUAUGGACUUCUCCGGUUCCAAUGUAGAUAAUUGCUUUAACGGUACUGAGGAACGGUCUUCCAAGGAUGAUGGGUGGAUCAUACUCAUCUUCUCCCAUGUCAAUAACUUGAAAGUCUGUGUAGACAAAGUGAUCGUCUAUUUUGACUGGGACAUCAGUUACUGUUCCUUUAACUUCUCGAAAUGUCUAAUCUGCCAUCUGAAGCUGAAUGUAUGUUGGUCUUAGUGGCAUGGUUCCGAACAAGAGCCGAUAGGUGACUACAGCCAUUAUGUUGACACCCGAUCUGGUGUCGCAAAUCGUCUUGUAGAAGCUAUAUCCAUGUAUGGAGCAGUAGAUGCUUGACAUUCCUGGGUCGUCCUUCUUGGUCAAAAACGGUGACUUAAGUUGUUGAUCUUGGCCUCCAUGAACUGCAGUGACCAUCUUAACUGACUCGGUUCACACUUGCUUGUUCCUAUUCCUCCUGUUGGUCCUCUUCCUUGAUUCACGUCUGGAUUGAUCUGGGAUUUGUGUAGUCUUGUUCUUGAAAAAAAAUGUCUCCUUCUUCCCUUUGACGUAGAAACUGAUCUUGGCAGCACUAGCGUAGAUGAUAGCUCCCGUGGUGUUCAAGAAUGGCCUCCCUAGGAUGAUAGGUGCUCUCUCAUCAUUUCCGGUCUCUACCACUACGAA